ACCGGCUCUGCUAGUCUCACGGUAGCCGUGCUGUUAUCAGCAGAAGAGUACUGUAAUCUUACUCAACGGCUAAAGGAUUGC
ncrna:Lactobacillus vaginalis DSM 5837 = ATCC 49540 Lacto-phage-1 RNA